rnacentral:rRNA from 1 species
GACGAACGCUGGCGGCGUGCUUAACACAUGCAAGUCGAACGGACAGGCCCUGCUUUUGUGGGGUGCUCGAGUGGCGAACGGGUGAGUAACACGUGAGUAACCUGCCCUUGACUUUGGGAUAACUUCAGGAAACUGGGGCUAAUACCGGAUAGGAGCUCCUGCCGCAUGGUGGUGGUUGGAACGUUUCGGCGGUUGGGGAUGGACUCGCGGCUUAUCAGCUUGUUGGUGGGGUAGUGGCUUACCAAGGCUUUGACGGGUAGCCGGCCUGAGAGGGUGACCGGCCACAUUGGGACUGAGGUACGGCCCAGCCUCCUACGGGAGGCAGCAGUGGGGAAUAUUGCACAAUGGGCGGAAGCCUGAUGCAGCAACGCCGCGUGCGGGAUGACGGCCUUCGGGUUGUAAACCGCUUUCGCCUGUGACGAAGCGUGAGUGACGGUAAUGGGUAAAGAAGCACCGGCUAACUACGUG